rnacentral:rRNA from 1 species
UACGUAGGUGGCAAGCGUUAUCCGGAAUUACUGGGCGUAAAGCGCACGCAGGCGGUCUGUUAAGUUUGACGUGAAAGCUCCCGGCUUAACUGGGAGAGGUCGUUGAAGACUGGCAGACUUGAGGCAAUGAGAGGGGUGUAGAAUUCCCGGUGUAGUGGUGGAAUGCGUAGAUAUCGGGGGGAAUACCAGUGGCGAAGGCAGCUCGCUGGGACGGUACUGACGCUGAGACGCGAAAGCGUGGGGAGCAAACAGG